AAUGAACGCUGGCGGCAUGCCUAAGACAUGCAAGUCGCACGAGAAAGUAGCAAUAUGAGUAAAGUGGCGCACGGGUGAGUAAUACCUGGGGUAACGCGCCCUCUCGCUGGGGGACAACAGGGGGAAACCCUCGCUAAUACCGAAUAGAUUCUGUCGGGACUUUGGUUCCUGAUAGACAAAGCCGUAAGGCGCGAGAGGAACGGCCCGGAUCCUAUUAGCUAGUUGGCGGGGUAACGGCCCACCAAGGCUAUGAUGGGUAGGCUGGUCUAAGAGGAUGAUCAGCCACACUGGUACUGGAACACGGACCAGACUCCUACGGGAGGGCAGCAGUUAGGAA
rnacentral:rRNA from 1 species